UACGAGUGCCCCGAGCGUUAUCCGGAAUCAUUGGGCGUAAAGGGUGCGUAGGCGGGUCUUUAAGUCAGGGGUGAAAUCCUGGAGCUCAACUCCAGAACUGCCUUUGAUACUGAAGAUCUUGAGUUCGGGAGAGGUGAGUGGAACUGCGAGUGUAGAGGUGAAAUUCGUAGAUAUUCGCAAGAACACCAGUGGCGAAGGCGGCUCACUGGCCCGAUACUGACGCUGAGGCACGAAAGCGUGGGGAGCAAACAGG
rnacentral:rRNA from 1 species